GUGACGCAUCACCUCAAGCAGGCGUCUUAUUAGCCGAGCGCUAACAGGCAGUGUGUGUUCCCGUGGGGGCUGAAUGCUGCUGAGUCAUCCUGUACAAGCUGAACAGCACAGGUAUUCAGUCUUGGCCCUGACACACACACACACACACGCACACACACACACACACACACACACACACACACACACACACACAGAUUAUUGGAUAGAAGAUACACUCACCUGCACAUACACAGACACUCUCAAUUUGCAGGAUUCCAGUAAGAGUCUUUGAGUGUAAGUGUGUUAGAUUUUGUGUGUGUUUGUGUGUGAGGGAGAGGUUUGUGAGAUUGAGACCAUAAAUGUUGACAGAUUUUUUUUCUUUUUAACGCCCCUCUUAGUAUCCUUGGUUUAUUAAUCUGUCAUCAAUCACCUCCAAAUCAUCUAGAGUUAUAUUUUGGAUUGUUGUUUUCUGCAGGUCAAAAAAGUAUAUUAGCCAUGCUGCUGUUUUGGAAAAUACAAUUUUCUUGUAAAAAUGAGUAUUACAUCUGUUUAGCUAAGACAAUAGCAAGGAUAUACUGUAUACUUCUGCCCGGUGAUAGAAUCCAACUCAGUGAAUACUAUGUUGGGAUUUAGACAGAACAAAUGGAUGGAAAUGGACUAACCACAAGCAAACAUUCUCAUCAAUUUGAUCAGAAAUUUUGGGAGAAAAUCCCAAAAAUGUGACCAAAAGCAUGUGACAAGGCAGAGAGGCGACUUUGGCAACUGUUUCCAAGAAUCCCUGAAAUGUGUUAGACAGUCAGACAGGCUGGCAGUGUAUUUCUGAGCUGUUUUUUUUUUCUCUUGCAUUCACCAUCUCUCUUCCAAAAUGCUGUGCGGGUGUUGUCAUAUUUGUAGAGAUGUUUUUUAUAUGUUUCUACAUUUUGUCCCUGUACUAUUUUCUCAAGUUAACUCUAAAUAUAAUAGUGAUUAUUGUAUUCAUUUGAAGGACAAAUCCUUUUACAUCUUGACAGAUAUUGAAAAUGUGAGAGACCCUACACAUAACGGCAUUUAAUGAUUGAUCUAACUGUCUCUUUGUGAAAUGGUAAGGCCAACAGGCUCCCCUACACAACAACCUCUCUCAUGGUCUAUACAAGGCUUUAGAUUACACAAACAUGGCAGAAAGCCUUAGCUCUUCAGGCAAAAUAACUGCCAUGGUACAUCCACUCCAUUUUGUGUUUACUGUCGUUGCCAUGGCUGCAUUUGUUGUGCGUCCUUCUUCAGUCAGCUUGCCUCUCAGUGGGUUGUUUUUUUUUUAUGUGAGGAUCUACAGUGUGUUUGCCCAAGCUGUCUACAGGAUAUAUAAUUGUAAACAUUGAACAUAUUUAGGAUUUCAAAUUGUUGCAGCCAUAAGGUUCCCCAAAAAUGAAUCCUCACCCACGGCAUCCUCUUACAUUUCAGUAUGCUUUCUUGUCAUCAUAGAAACUUGGCCAGUGUGAAACCCACAAGUUUUACCCGUGAGCUCACAUUUCACAACAAGUUGAUGGGUGAGUUAGGGUCAACACCGAGCUAGACACCCCCUCGAGAGAUGAAUGUUGCCGACUGCUUGCUUCUCUAGUAAUACCAACUUUAGUAACAACCACACGAUAGCAAUACACAGCGGUCUCAGGAGCCAGACACAAACCUCAACCAAAACCCCACUCUAUAGCCACAAAUAAUGCUCAGAACAGCACCUAACUUCAUCUACAGUACAUAUAGGGUCCGAGCCAUAGCACUAGCCACCUGACAUCUCUCUAACUUUGCCUAAUUUCUUAAACAAAGAGACUAAACACAACUCACCUACUCUCUUCUAGCAGCCGUUUGUUUGUAGCGAGACCUCGGGCCAAUCCAGUACAGACUGCUGUGGGGUGACGCAGCUCAAGGAAGAACAUUUAUGAUCAUUCCUGGUCUGAUUUCCGAGGGGGUGUCUGACUCGGUGUUAUCGUGUGUUUGACCAUAACUUAAUUUUAUUCCAGAAUAUCCCUUUAAGUUACUGUGCUAUUUCAGUGUAUACUGCUAACUUCAGCCCAAUCUCUGAAAAACAAACACAAACUUGUUUCUUCAUCCCAACCUGAUAUCAGAUCACAAACCUUGAGAAAAGUGGAUCCCUUCCACAAAUUUAUGAAAAACAACUCUAAAUAUCCCCCCAGGCUGUAUGAUUUCUAUAUUUAUUAACAGAAAACAAAACCUGAGGGCAGAGGAGAGAAAUAAAAAAGUCAGGUGGGUCAAACUUCACAGGCUAAUCACUGACUCCAUGCGAGCGAGAGAUAGCUGGACAGAGGAAGCAACAGCAAGAAUGAAAGAGCGAGAGCAACAGUAAACAGUCAAAUGAUCGAUGAACGCCUAACAUGACUCAGCUCUCGGGUGCCGGCCAGAAUUUCCACGACUGGUGAGCCGCCUGCACGACAUAGACAAACGACCCAGCAAUGAAGGAAAAUGAGGAUUUUAUCACCCAUUUCCCUCUCACACUGUAACGGGCCCACACUCCCUGGAUCACUGGUGUCUGUGUGUGUGUGUGUGUGUGUGUGUGUUUUUCUGCACUGGGAAGUUAACCAAAUGUGUGUCUCCCUCUUCCCUGACAGGCUAGCUCACGGUCAUACACAGGACCCAAGGGUGCAGUUUAGAGAAAUCACUCACUCAGUUGGAGACUUGUGGAGAAAUGCCCAAGGUCUGGAAUGUCUAUACAUUACCUGUGUGUGUGUGUGUGUGUGUGUGUGUGUGUGUGUGUGUGUGUGUGUGUGUGUGUGUGUGUGUGUGUGUGUGUGUGUGUGUGUGUUUAAAGUGACAUUUAUCUCAUCCUCAGGUAUAAUUACACAGCCCAGAGUUAUCCAGCUCUCCUUCCUCUUUCUCAUACCCUUCUAUCCCUCUUUCUCCCUCACUUCCUCAUUCUUAUCCGAGCUAAGCAAGCUGAUCCGACUGCACCAUCUUCGGAAGUCAUUAUGGGAUUAGCUUAUUCCCAGAGUAUAGAUCUCUUCCUUGGUGCCCAUGAAGGGGGCUCCCCCCGGUUCCUCACGUACCCACAAAUGCUUCUCUCCAGCUGGGGUAAUCGAGCAGCAGCACUCCUUCCACCAGCCUGGAGCCCUACCUCAAGGGAAAUCUCUCAGUGCUUCUCCUAACUUCGUAUUAAACCCCCCCUAAAAUCUACACAAGUACAAUUAAAUACAUGAAAUUCCUCCAGAUUAAGAGACUGGGUUAUUGCAUUAGAAAAAGGUUAUGAAAAAUGCGGUAACUGUGUAAAGUAAUAGCUGUGUCUGCCGUAGCCGAUGAACAAACGAGCUCUUUUGUAAUAAUAAUAACGCCGCUCCUGCAAAACUGACAGGGAUAAGCAGCCUUGAGGGAAGAAGUGUAAGACUAUCACUUCCUGUUUGUGAAUUCCUCACCCCUGUGGGCUGAUGGGUAAUGACACCUGCCAACAUGCCAGAAACUCUCACUUACUCUGAGGGCAGGAUUAACAGUUGAAAGCAGACCAGUUUGUUCUGAAGGGAGCUGUUGAUUGAAGAGACUUUGAAGGGUUUUAAAGCUUCUCACCUCGACUCAGCUGCGGUUUACCUCCCACAUGCAGAAAAAACACCAUAUAUACACUCCUGCCCUGUACUGUACUGACAGUGCUAGAGGUCAUGUCUUACCAAUAUACACUCACGCAGCCCAAGCUUAAUAGAAAAUCAACCAGUUUUAUUCCGUUUCAGCAGAAGAAAUGUCUGUUUAACUAUUUUUGGUCAGUCUUUCAUUGUGAAUAGUAAAGGUCCUUACAAGACCAGGAACGAUGCACAUAUACAAUGCGAAAUUACGAAAUAUUCGGAGGUGAAUUUUAAUGCGCCUGAAUACACAUAUCAAGCGCAAUGUAAUUUUGCUACUUUCCGGGGGAAAAAAGACGCAUCCCAGGUAUAAGCGAGAAGACUGACACAACAGCAGACUGACUGUUUUCAGUUCUGAUUGGACACUAGUGUUGAAAUGUCUGUCUGUCAUGAUAGCAUGUACUGAGUCAGGGCCAGUACCAGAUAAGCACAUGAAACUAUAAUCCAUAAAGGUAAGGUAACAACCGAGACCUAAUGGUGCUGUGACAGCAACGCUGUGAUUCAGUUUGAGACAGUGAAAAUACAUAUGGUAUGUUGUAUCUGAACAGGUUAGCUUCCACUCAGACUACUUAUCAUCCGAGAGUAUAACAUGAAUAAUGAUUUUGAGGUCAGUCACUUCUCCUGUGUUAUAUGAAGCAUAUUCUUGUCCAACUAUUGACUUUCUUGAAAAAAUAAAAAACUUUUUGAACAGAGCACAUCUUUAAUCUGAUUAGAGUUCAUUUAUUUCUUUGCCUCCAAUAGCAGUUUAAAAGUUUAAAACUGCACCACUGCUAUCAUAUCUAAAAAGAUAACUACAGCACAAAGCAUCGUUUUAUAAGCGUCCAGUAUUGAGAAAUCAUAUUCAUCAGGCUCUUUCUAUUCUCCUCUGUUUAAGACUGUGCAGCUGUCUUCAGCCUCACCCCAGGGCAUAAUAACCAUGUGUUGCUGCCGCACACACACACACACACACACACACACACACACACACACACACACACACACACACACACACACACACACACACACAUUCAUACUGCCCCAUACACCCAGUGUUAUCUUCAGAGUCACAAGUCACUGCUUUUUUCUAAACUGGGCCAUGUGGCAGCCUUCUGCUAUAAAGAAGCCACACAUAUUUUGGCCCAGGCUGGGCAUUUAUCUAGCAUAAUGUGAUUGUGCUGACGUGCCCUCGCUCUCAGAGGCAAUGGGUCACGGUGGGCCACAUGGUUUGGGGUCGGCCCCUCCCCUGGGCCCUGUCUUUACUCACAGCAGUGCUAACCCUGUUGUCUAAAUGUCGUCUGUCAGGCUGAUCACAAGUGGCGAUAUCUUGUUUGAGCUCUACUUUUCCUUUAUAUUUGCUGUGUCUCUUCUGCAUUUAUGUAAUCUCUUAUAUAGCACAUAGCAACCUGACACAACGUUAAUAAGAACUUUAUUUAUCCUCGAAGGGAAAUGCAAUAACAUCAGUAUAUUUAUGCCGGCAUUAUAUCAGGGACUUUAUUUUGUGUCCAUCUUAGUGACGCUUUUGGAGAAAGCUGCGCAUCUCAUCUCCUUACUGAUCUUGCUCUCAGCAAGUGAAUGUAAAAAAUCUCAUCCUGCUUUCUUUUACCAGUUACAAGACUCACUCUCUGUGGAUCUUUACCAUUGAAAAUAUAUGAAAAAAACUUGUAGCACCAUUGUCCUCUUAACUGAUUCCUCAUUUGCUUUUCUAGGUCAUAUAGAGGCAUCAGAAUUAAUUCCUGUCACUUUCAUAAUGAACUAAAAACUUCUCACAGGAGCUUUAAGCAGCUUAGAUAAGUAUGCAAAGGGCUGCAUACUUUUUGCAGUAGAAAAAAAAACAUGUAAUAGUAUGCAUUAGGUUUAAAUGAAUAAUGCAUAACAGCCCAACAGCAGAAUACAAAAUAACUGACCUUAAUCAACCCCAAACUUCCCAAAUGUCAACUACACGGCCUUUAUGUCCCUUCCAUCCUACACCACUGAGUCUUUUGAGCUUGUACUCACUGCGCACGAACACAUGUGAUCAUCCUCGGGGCGUUUGAGAUGUGGCCCAUUUAAACCUGCAUGUGUACAGUCCAUCUUUAAUUUUCCUUUUCCCUUGGGCAUAAUUUUUCAUCACUUCUAUCCACCCUCUCCUUGCCUCCCUCUACCUGACCCUUUGCCACCUUUUUUUCCGUGCCUUCCACAAAGUGUCUAAACCUUGUCUUCACUUUCUUUCCUCUGUCAUCCCCUCUCCACCCUAGCGCCUCAUCUCUACAGGGAUUCUGCAAGUCCAUCUACAGAGUAAUGGCUCUUUCUGACCGAGUGUUGCAACUCUUUCAACCACAAAUGUCUCUUGAGUGACAGCCUCUGAGAGAAGAAAAUGCCAGUCAGAUUGCCGAACAAGAUUGGCAAAGGGAGAAAAACCAAUCUAAAACUAGCUGAUAGUUUAAAUAUUCCACCUGGACUGAGCCGUGGCAACACCAAUACAAGACGUGAAACAACUCUUAAGUUUGAGAGCAAUUGCUUUCGGCUGAGGGGGCUCUGGCAAAGUGCAAAGAGAUGUUGAUGGUUCAGUUCCAUGUUUGACAGAAAAGUGAUGAAACAUUACUCCCUCCAGGAUAUUGCAGUCUUUUUUUGUGACUGUUGCAGCCUAAAAAUGCCUGAUUCCUCAGAGCCUUAAAAAGCGAUACAAGUUCUGAUGAAUUAGAGUGUUUUCAUGCAACACUUAACGCAAUUACUGGAAGUGACUUAGACAAACGGUUGGCACAAAUGUUGGCUGUUUGUCCUCUGUUAUUAAUUGUGGUGAACGUUAGUGUCAAGAUUUCAAAUGAAUUGUGUAAAAACGGAACAAAACUACAGUUCAUUUUCCAACUGGUUGUGUGCAUUACAGUGAUAAUGAUAUUCACUGAUGACAGUCGGAUUAUUUAAUAUAUUUCUGAUGUUUUUUGAACAGCUGCUGACCAUGGUCUGUGAUUGGCCUAUACACAAGGAGUGACUGAGCUGUAUUUUUCUUAAAGUAGCAGUAGGCGGUAUGAGCUAUCCAAAGGGAAAAAUGUUGUAUGUCGGAGCUGGGAGUGACGUAACACCCGAGUUGACGGCGUUCUAGGUAACAAGUCAGAAACCAAGAUGGACGCCUACAGUUACCCAUUGUUAGCUGUUAUUUAUAACUGUCAGCUGACGUUAGCCGUUGUCAGUUGUUGUUAGCGGUUGUUGGCAGUUGUUAGUUGUUGUUAGCAAUUUCAGUUGUAAACAACGCAUAACACAGUAUUUUACUCUACAAACACCAUAGCACAGAGUUCACAGUUAGACGCAGGGCAGAACAACAUAUACAACUUAUUUAAUUUCACAAAAACAAAACAGAAGUGCUAAUAAAUCAUACAUUACCAGAGCUUUCACUGUUACUCUUAACUGUUUGUGCAUUGCGCUGCCAUUUUGGAUUAUGAUGUUGUCGUCAAGAUGGGGUUGGUGAGGAUCGUCCAAUUUUCUGAGUUGAAAAUUCAAAUUCAGGGGGGUUUUCCAGAUGAAUUUCUCCAACUUGGAGCUCAGAAAUUCCGACUUCCGAGUAUAACUGGAACACAGCAUAAGCCCCUCGCACCAAGUAUUAUCAACUGUGUCACUCAAAGGAUCAGUUAAUUAAGUUGAUUUCUCAAAGCUGGGUCAGCAAAUCCAGACAAUGAAGUUGGGAAUUGAUUGUCUCUGUCAUGCAUGCGCUGCAUCUGGACCCAAACCAGCCUGAGUGUUUUGCACACAGUUAACAUGCUUUAACCCUGAAGAAAGGAAACCGGUGGUAAAGAAAAACUCAAUAGAAGAAAAAAAGGUGAAAAGAGUAAAAGAAAAACAGAAGCUAUUGUAUAAACAGUAAAGAGCUGUAAAAAUGUCAGUAUUUUCACCAUUUAACAUACUAACAGCUAUAAGUUUGUAAAGAUCCAUCCAUCCAUCUUCUACCGCUUACCCGUGAUCGGGUCGCAGGGGCAGCAGCCUGAGCAGAGAAGUCCAGACUUCCAGACAAGUUUGUAAAGAUUUGCUUUUAAUUUGCUAGUUGUGUGUUGGAAUCGUAAUACUGUUAGUGACACACGAUGACCCAAAUUCCUAUAAAAGGGCUUACUGUCACUUUAAUGUAGAAAAAUGGUUAAAUACUCACAUGAAGGCUUGAGUAUUUAUUUUGUUAUCAUGGAUUUAUUGUUGUCCAAAAAUGUCUCUGUAUAUAUGGAUGGAUUACAAACAAGAGAGGUGCCUGGAGCCUCCAUGUCCCAGCUGUCUGCCUCACAGACGAAAGAGAGGUAAGAUGUGCAGAACUUCAACGAUACUAAAAAUGCAGUGAUAAUAAACCCUCUGCUUUUAAUAUAACUUUGCAAUACCAGAUGGGGUGACAUUAAAACAAGAAUAAAAUGAGACCAGUGUAUAACAGGGCAAACAGCUUAGAAGGAAAACAAGGUUUGGUCGAAUUUCAUAAAAAUGAAAGACGAAAAGUGAAGAGUGUUAAGUGCUGCAAUCAAACCUCCCUUGAAGGCUGGUGUGUUUCUCUUGAGGGUCAGUAUAAAAUCCUUCAUAAAUCAUGAGAUCUUAAUCUUUAUUUUGAUGGAAAUUGUUGACCGUGCAUUGAACCACAGAUUCUGGCUGACCACACAAAACAUCCCUUCAUCUUCCUUUUUUCCCCGUCACUCUCACUUUCUCCUCUCUCUUCCUCUUUCCCAUCCCCCUCCACCGCUUCUCUCUGCUUCCCUCUUCUCACCGCUGUGGUGGGUUCACUUCUUGACAAGGCCCCACAUCCUGCUAGUUGCUAAAUGAAUAAUACAUGCAUGUUCUAGCUGCACUGUUAGACAGAGGGAGAGAGAGAAAAAGAGAGCCCAUCAGAGACGCUGUGAGUCGGUGAGCAGGUCUUUCGAGGACUGUUUGCUCUUGAAGCCCCUUAUGGAAAGGCCAAAGCUGUCACAAAACUUUAGAUGCAGUCUAUAUGCAGCGAUUUCAAAAGCAGAUGUGUGCAUUCGGUAAUCUCAUGGUAGAUCCUGCUCUCCUUUCCUUUAGCAGAGAUGAGAGGCAGAGGUUGUUGGUGCAGUUGCCGUUGAGGUGAAAGCGAGGCCAGUGCAGCCCUUAGGAGCGUGAUGGAGAACAUAAUUUCAGUCACAUCCGAAAAGAGCUUUGAUUUCCAAGACUUCAUACGUAAGUUUGUGUGGGUUUCACCAUUUGUUCCAAGCAGCACCAGUUCCCUUUAACCCAGCAGAACAAGGUUUGCCCUACAUUUUAUCAGCUCCUCUCAUUCAGUUUUGACGGAGAUCAAAGCAAUACGCCAGCAGCCAGCCGGCAGUGCAUGCAUGCAUUAUCAAUCAUGUCUGUGGCUUUUUGUUGUACAGGAGAAAAAUAUUGCAGAGCACAGAUCAAAAGGAAAAGGUCAUCAAAGGAUAAAUCAUUUUUGUGGAUGCAGGGGGUAGAUUCACAUGCAUACAAAGGCAGGGCGCAAACAACUCCAGAAUCUUUCAGCUGAGUCCAUGCGCUUAGUUUCAUGGAUCUGGUGUGUGUCUGUGCACCACAAAGAAAUAAUCUUCUGCCAAAAUAUUUCAUGUGAUUCGUCCUCUGACCCUGAAAUUGGACAGCAGUACAGUUCAGGGAGCUUGUUACUUUUCUCCGCUUCCUGUUUCGCUUCUCUGAAGACAAGAAAUUCCUGGUAUAACCAUGGCAUAUUAUCUCAAAGGAAACAUGCAGAGUCAGAUGAUUCACCCCUCACUCUGAACUAUUCACGCCUUUAUUGGGAAAAACAGAGUAAGUAAAUGGGAGCAGCGGGGGUCUCUGGGCUGAGUUAAGUUAGUGGAAACAAAUGAGCCAGGCUUGUUUGAAGACCACAUGCAUAAAGUGAGUUUUUGGAGGGAGUUUUAAGGAUGGUGUUCAGCGAAAUAUUCAGUGCAGUCUCAGCAGUUUGCAGCACUGCAGGUACAAAGGAGGUUGUUGAUUGAUGCACGGUGACUUCAUGCCUUUCACAGUGACAGAGAGCUCAGGAAUGUGUCUAAGCAGCUCUGCAGCAGGCGCACACAAACAUGCAUAGACACUUUGUUACCAGGCAGAGUACCUGUGAGAGCAGCCAUGCCAUUGGGAGUCUGUGCAGACAACCUGCAGUACACGCCAUAAAUGACCCAAAUGUGUGACUGCUCAGUCCUUGCUCUCACACCUCAAGCUGUUAUUUUCAACAGGGCUUUGGAUGCCAUUAAGCGUUUAGUGCAGCCUAAUCAAGGUAACAAGAAGCACAUGUUUCUUAGGUGUACACAUGUUUUUGCAGUUUUCCUCAUCCCUUUGAUUUGGAAAAAAACAUCUAGAAAAGGUGGAAUAGCUUGGGUUACUAAUUGCUUAGGGCUAGCUGCACUGUUAGCAACAACAAAAGCUGUUGUUGCGAGGGAACGACAGUCAGCCAUAAUGAGUAUUGGGCAUACUUUCAAGGCAUUAUAUAUUAAUUGGCAGCUUAUAUAAAGGAACACAAUUUGUAACUUUAUUUAAAGUGGAAAAUAAAGACAUUUUUAUGGUAUGGGUGUGUUGAUAUCACUUUGUGUUUCUUGUUGAACAAAGGAAAAAGGUUAGCUUGUUUGCUAACCUUAAACCAUUGCUGUAUAAUUGUGAGUGUUGUGUGGUGGUAAUCGGAGAGGCUGUAGGCGUAAAAAUGGCAGCCACGUUUCCGUCGGUCUCCCCCAGAGCAGCUGUGACUACUGAGGUAGUUUGCCACUAGCCUGGCUGGGCCAUCCAGUUGCGUGAAUCACUUGCCGUUCCUUCCCACAACAGUCUAGACUUCGGCCCAUUGGGAGCGUGUAUUAGAAAUCAGAAAAUAACCGGGCCAAUCAGUGACUGUGUUUCCACUGUGACCAGGACAACAGGGAAAGGCAGCCCCUGAUUGGUCCAUGUGUAGAUGUUGAUGUCUACGUCUACACAUGCUGCGGGACUUUUCAAAGCGCUGCUCAUUCAGAACGCCGUUAAUUCUGCAGUUGACAUUGCAAAGUCGGCAGAAAUCGUUUGUAUCCGCAGAAGAAGACGUAAAAGACAUUGUUUGCUCGCACACGUUGAAAUAUUACCAAACCUUUACUUGAUGCUUGAGAGCCCAACAGGGAUGGGGUGAGGGAUGGUGUUAACAUUGUUGCCGUGAUGUGAGGAGUCUGGAGCAGAGAGCUGCUUUAACAUUGCGAUCCUGUGUGACCCAGCACAAAUCUCCAGGGAGCUUGAUAGAAACUUCGCUGCACGAGAAGUGGUCAUCGAAAGAAAACAAGCAGCAGGACUUUCACAAAAGUAGAAUAGUAAAAUUUUCCCUCUCUACGUGUGAGUCAGUGAUCACAUUGAUCAAUAAGCUGAAGCUCAACAGGAAACAUCUGAGGAAUACAGAUAACUAUGCACAAGUGGGCUGGAGUCAUUAAUGCCUGUUGCUGUUUUAGCUUUAGUGAAUCAGUUUAGAUAGUUUGUGAAUGAGCAAUAGACACACCUUGAAAACCCUGUGUUGAAGUUAGAAGUUGAAGAAAGAAAGAAACAAAAUAGUUGGCAUCACCCAGAACACUGCUGCCAUAGAGGUGUUUUUACAGAGAUGAAUCAAUCAGUGAUUCAGACUGUUCACCACUUUUCACCAAAAUUCUGAAUAACCAAAGAUCACGAUACAGCUGUAGCUGCAAUUAGAGGACUGACAUGUUCGGCCAACAUGCCAUGGUCAAAAGGAGAAGUAAGUCUUUAUUUUCUAUGAACCAGACAAAUUUUGUUUCCAUAGCAACUGUGCUGGCAGUUGGAAGAGACUCUGUGUAUGGGUGCAUUUGCCAUACUGGCUGCCAUAGUAAAGUGGAUUUCUAUACGAUGUUAGCAGAUGAGAAAAACUUGAAUGCUCAUUUUACCAAAAUUCACCAAAAGCCAUCACCAGAGUGGAAAAGUUUUUAGGCAUUUAUUCCGAUUAUUUGUGCCCAUGUAAACGCUGCUACUGACUCUGCUGUGGUGAGCUCACUGCAUUUUCCUGACAACCUCAAAAAUACCUGCAGCUCAGCCACUAGUAACAGGUUUAAAGGAGGACCUUACCAGAUAGUUCUCACCUCAGGUAACUUUAGCAUCUCACUUUCUUUUCUGGGUGCAGCGACUCAAGGCCAAAUUACAAUUCAAAGCGUCUCUUUGUAAGAUGGCACGUAAAAGAACAUGCUGGUAAACGUGUUAGCCCUGACUCUGAACUGAAUAUGUAAAUGAUCAAGGCUUUAUAUUGGAAAAAAAAACUGACAUUAACAAUAAAAAAGUCUUUAUAAGAAAAUUUAUUUCAAGUCCAUUUUUAGUCUAAGUCAUACUGUUAAAGUCCAAGUCAAGUCAUGAUUCAGGGCACAAGUCAAACAACACAUCACUGAAUAUAAUGUCUACAUUUCCUGUGAGAAACUGUGGUUUUUCUGCUCAAGUUUCAUUUUUCAGCCUUGAGGGUCUAAAGCAAAUCAGACUUAAACUCUUUACCCUUUAUACUGACAUUGUCGCAACAAUACAAAAACAACAACAACUUCAGCAUGACUCUACUAAAAAUGCCUUUAAAUGUGAACUAUUUAAUCAUUUCUCUCACAUAAGAAAGCGCCUUUUUUCCCAGUGCAUUCGCUCUGACACCCUUAUCUGAACCUUCUGGCUAAGUUUUUCACGUGCUUUUGAGUCUGUGCGUGUCUCUGUGCUUGAGUGUGUGCUCUGACCCUAUAAAAGCGGGUUUAAAAGUAUCAGAGAGUUCACUUCAGAGACAGAAAACCAGAGAAACUCUCCUGAUUAACCAGAGGGCAGACAAGCUUAAAGCUGAGAGCAGAUGCCACAGCACAACCCGGCACGCUUCAGCUGGCACAGCAGCUCAGCACCAACACGACUGGCAUGACACAGUCGCAUGUGAAGGCAUACUGCUGCAUGACAACCUACUGCCUUUAAAUAUGCUUGAGCACAAAUGAAGAGCAGGGCUGUAUUCCCCAUCCUGUACCCUGAUCUCUCUUAUUGCAAUUACACUGUUGUUUGAUGCUCUCUCUCACACAUACAGUUUCUAAUUUACCUUCCUCGUCCCAAGUGCCUCUUAAUCGCUUGUUCUCUCUCUUUUCUUUCGAUCUCCCUCCUGCUCACUUGCUUUCUCGCUUCCUCCUCCUGCCUCAGAAUCCAUUGAGACUUCACAACAAUGGAGUUGUAGACUGGAUUAAGCAAUACAAUGUCUGAUGGAGGGGGCGUAGUGGGGAGAAAUCAAUGGGCAGAUGUGAUUUCCUAAGCCGCUAAACAUCCUCUGACACGUCGACCAAUUAGCUCUGUCAAACGGGGAUAUCUUUACUAUGUGUACAAGGUCAUUAGAUAAGUGCGUCUGUUGCACUGGAGCUCUCUGCACAUGUACUCAAAUGUGUGUGUGUGUGUGUGUGUGUGUGUGUGUGUGUGUGUGUGUGUGUGUGUGUGUGUGUGUGUGUGUGUGUGUGUGUGUGUGUGUGUGUGUGUGUGUGUGUGUGUGUGUGUGUGUCAAUGCACUAAGACAAAGGGAGGUAUGAGAUGGAUAUAUUUAACAAUAGAGCUCAGUGUAGUUCCUCCGUCUUGAUUACCUGUCUGCAUUGCUUAAUAACAUUUUUGAUUGCACAAUUUGCAGCUUGUCACACUUGCUGCAAAUUGCACUCAGUUUAGAGAAAUGAAUCGAGAAGCAAUUUAACCAUCAUUUCUGUUUCAUGUUGUGAGGGAAUGCAGUUAGAGAAAGCUGUAUUGGUUUGUACAAACACGUUUCAGUACUCCCACUGCUUUUCAUUCCCUCUCUUGAUGCUGUCAGAAGACACCUGAAGAAAUUGAAUGACAAAAUAAUGUCUUAAAUUUUCUUCUCUGCAUCAGAAAACAACAUAUGCGGAAGUAAACAAUGGCACACUGUGGAUCCGUCCUGCUUGUGCUCAUGCUGGUAUGCCACUACUUCAUUUACAAGCCAUACUAACUAUGCUGACAUGGCUGCUGGAGCAUUUUCAAAAUCCAAGAUAUGCGUAUUCCGUACAAGGUAACAACAGAUACUACACCAGUUUACUAGACUGAAUGAAUGUAUUUACUUCACUGAUAGAAUGCAGCAUUGGGACCCUUGUUUGUUCAUGAUUUAACAGCUUUUUCUGAGAAGUGCUUUGACUCUGUUAUGUCAGUCUGAAUCCAUGCUCAGUCUGAUCAUGAUGUUUAAAAAUAAGACAGGGGGAGUAAAACAGAACAUUAGCAUCACUACCUGCCAAUAGUCACGUUUACAUGGGCAAAAUUUCUUGAUCCGAUUAAAAAUUUGAGGGAUCGGAUAAUCUGAAUCCACUGUUUAUAUGGGUGCAAAAUCAAAUAACUCCAUCAUGCCGUGUGUAUACAUGCACCAAAUUUUAUUCAGACAAGAAGCAUUUGGACAUGCGCAGAGUUGUCUGAUUUUGCUUAAACAACUGCAGAAGAAGAAGAGUUGUAUUUACGCUUGUGCUGUCAGUAAACGCGGUAGUGGCUCACUCCAUCCAACACAGGAGUUUUCCCCCCUGUUAAAUGUUGUCACUAGAUGGCGGCCUUGCGUACUUAUUUUACUGCUCUGUCAAAGGUUGCACUGUGUGUGCAGAUGUGACAUCAUUACGCUGUAUGUACGCCUUGUUAUGUUACUGGAGGAGCAGACAUAGCACCUGCGGUUGUUAUGCGAGAGUGUUAAUAGUGAAACCUCCUGUACUAACCUUAAUAAAUAAGCAAAAGUGGAGUGAAGACCAAGUCAGGUAAGAGAGUAAUGUUCAUAGUAAGUGUUUACGUGGAUGCAUUUUGGAAUAACGAUCGGGAUAAACCACCCCUCUCGAACGGAAUACAGUUUUGUCCGAUUGAGCUGAAUUGGUUCAGAAUCUUCCGAUUGACAUGCUUACUUGAUGCAUUUUAUUUUGAUCAGGAAUUUAUUCCGAUUAUUUGUGCCCAUGUAAAUGCAGCCUUAGUCUAGCACUGUAAAUGAGACCGAGUAUAUCUUCUCCCUCUCUUGUUGAAAUGCUAUUUGGUUUGUCUGUCUGGCCAAUUAUGUCAAGGGGCUCUAUUUUCGUGUCCGCCGGGGACGCGGCGGAGGGUGGCGGACCCCGCGCAGUGGUAUUUUCGUCUGGCGGAGCCCAGUGUACAGCCAGUUUGGUAUUUUCGUGGACUGAGGCGCACCGAGAUCCGCCAAGCUGGGCGUGGUGGCGUGGCGGGGGGGGUGUCGACAGAAUCAGCUGGCACAGUGACAUUUUCGUGUUCGCCAGUGGGGAAGUUAGGGAGGGGGGAUAUUUACACUGGGCUGCGCCACUCACCAAAAUACCAAAAUGUGCUUGGGAACGCCUUGUCGGCGCGGCGGACCUGACUUACGCCGCACCUGCGCCACGCCGCCAGCGAAGCACGAAAAUAGAGCCCCAAGUGUCUUAACUCUCAGCUUCACCUGCAAUGAUCUCGGUAACAGCACUCUCUUUGACUUAAGUCUUGAACUUUUUCAUAGGUCCAACAACUUACUCUGGCGUAAUGGAUGAGACUUUGUUGUGACAUUACUUUUUAUGCCUUAUUGAGAGAGAUGUUGCCCUAUCAUUGCCACCUGCUGGAUAAUGGUGUGAAACUUUGAAUGUGAGUCAAGAGGCUUGAGGGCAGAACAGAUUUCACUUGAGACAUGACUGAUUAGUAGCUUUUGAUAUAAAGAAUAUUGUUGAUCUACAUUAAAACAAAAUGAUGAGUACCCAUCAUCGAGGGUGUUUACUACUUUAAUCUGGUUACCAGUGCAGUGAGUGAACAGUAUAUCCAUAGGAGCUUUAUUUACUGAUAACUGCUGCCUGCAGCAAACAGUUAUUUAGCAAAAGGGAUCCAAAAUUAUCCAAAUAAUGGUAAAAUGUAGUUUUAAAUUGCGGUUGACUGCAGAUUUUGGUAAUAGUUUUAUGUGCCUUUGUACUUUUCUUAUCUUUUGAACCAAUGUUAAUGAGAAUAUUCAGAAUUGCAGCGUUAAAAAUAAAAUUAAAAUUAAAUGACCAGAAUACAGAGAUAACAAAAGCUGAGGAAAUAUCACAUGAGCCAUGUCUCUACCAGUGCCAUGCUACUGAGGCAGAUAUAUAAACCAGACAAACAUACUUCUGCUGAAGUGGAAAUACUGCUAACAUGUACUUCACAUUUUACCUUUGCUUUUAGUCGAGAAAAUAACAGCUGGUGUGAGAAAAAUGAAGGAGGUAAUUUUCUAGCUCAGAGACAACAUAGUAGUUUAUCAUUUCCUUUCCAGCCUAAAAUAAGUUUCUUGUUUUGCAGGGUCAAAAUAUCACUCUGCAGAAACCACAGCUUUCCUCAGCCUACAUCCUGUCUCCUCUCUGUCUUCACACUGGAGCUCACUUUGGCCCACACACAACCAGAGUGACAGAGCACAAGAGCAUAAAUUUGAUUUCCACAGCAGACUUUUAACACUUUACUUCAGUAAAAUCUAAAUUUAAACCUUGCAUCAAAAAUAUGAUAGAUUACAUUUAGAUUGCCUAUGAGAAGGC